GCGACGAGUGGCGAACGGGUGAGUAAUAUAUCGGAACGUGCCCAGUAGUGGGGGAUAGCCCGGCGAAAGCCGGAUUAAUACCGCAUACGACCUAAGGGUGAAAGGGGGGGAUCGCAAGACCUCUCGCUAUUGGAGCGGCCGAUAUCAGAUUAGGUAGUUGGUGGGGUAAAAGCCCACCAAGCCGACGAUCUGUAGCUGGUCUGAGAGGACGACCAGCCACACUGGGACUGAGACACGGCCCAGACUCCUACGGGAGGCAGCAGUGGGGAAUUUUGGACAAUGGGCGCAAGCCUGAUCCGGCCAUGCCGCGUGCGGGAAGAAGGCCUUCGGGUUGUAAACCGCUUUUGUCAGGGAAGAAAUCCCUUGGGAUAAUACCUCGGGGGGAUGACGGUACCUGAAGAAUAAGCACCGGCUAACUACGUGCCAGCAGCCGCGGUAAUACGUAGGGUGCAAGCGUUAAUCGGAAUUACCUGGGCGUAAAGCGUGCGCAGGCGGUUGUGC
rnacentral:rRNA from 1 species